rnacentral:lncRNA from 1 species
CAUUUGCGCUAAACGUAAAGAUUGAUAGAUUAUUUGUGUUUUACAUCAAAGCAGCCAUUCUAAGGGAACGAUCAUUUAACUUUAAAAAAAGGGGGGGGGGGGAUUAAAAUAUUCUGUUCAAGCAAAGGACAAAAAAUUAAUUCUAAAUCCAGAUUUCCUCCAUACCUGAUAUAAAAAAAAAGAUAUGGUAUCAUGCCAACGAAAC